ensembl:snRNA U6 U6 spliceosomal RNA
GUACUCAUGUUAGCAGCACAUAUGCUAAAUUUGGAAUGAUAGAAGAUUAUCAUGGCCCCUGCACAAGGAUGACAUGCAAAUUCAUGAAGCACUCCAUAUUAAA